CGGCGAGUGAAGCGGCAACAGCUCAAAUUUGAAAUCUGGCCUCGGCCCGAGUUGUAAUUUGCAGAGGAUGCCUCUGGCGCGGUGCCUUCCGAGUUCCCUGGAACGGGACGCCACAGAGGGUGAGAGCCCCGUAUGGUCGGACACCAAGCCUGUGUGAAGCUCCUUCGACGAGUCGAGUAGUUUGGGAAUGCUGCUCUAAAUGGGAGGUAAAUCUCUUCUAAAGCUAAAUACCGGCCAGAGACCGAUAGCGCACAAGUAGAGUGAUCGAAAGAUGAAAAGCACCUUGAAAAGGGGGUUAAAUAGUACGUGAAAUUGUUGAAAGGGAAGCACUUGUGACCAGACUUGGGCCGGGCGGCUCAUCAGGGGUUCUCCCCUGUGCACUCCGCCCGGCACAGGCCAGCAUCGGUUCUCGUGGGGGGAUAAGACCGUCAGGAACGUAGCACCCUCCGGGGUGUGUUAUAGCCUGGCGGACGAUACCCCCGUGGGGACCGAGGUUCGCGCUCCGCAAGGAUGCUGGCGUAAUGGUCACCAGUGACCCGUCUUGAAACAC
rnacentral:rRNA from 1 species